rnacentral:lncRNA from 1 species
GUCUGACAAUUUAUUUUGCAGGGAGAAGGGAGCCAGAAGGGUCUAAUAUAUGCCCAGACCAAGAGAAUUUUGGUGAGACAUUAUCUUUCUUCCCAGCAGGGAAUGAUUUAUUUACCUGAUAUGUCAGUUAGGAUGCUUUCAGCUGCAAAUAACAGAACUUUCAGCUCGACUGCCUUAAACAACAAGGGAAUUUAUGGGUUCAGUUCUUGAAAAGUCUAGUAACUCAAACGAUAUGACCAAGACCUAGUGUCUCACUUCACCCGUUUUUUGGCUUCACUUUCCUGGUGUUGGAUUCAUUCUUGGCAGGCUGCCUCCCUUGUGAUCCUGACAUAGCAGACAGCCGUUCCCAGGGUGAUCUGCUUUUUGGUUCAUGUAAAUUAAGAAGAGUAACUCUUUUCUCGAGCGAAUCAACAAACAUUCUGGAGUUUCAAACGAAUUGGAACAAUUAAGUCACAUGUUUAUUUCGGAACCACUCACUCUAAAAGCGGGGUGAGUUUUGCUGCUAUCUUAGACCUGACUCAUAUGCUCGACUCCAGAAUUAAGGGGAGUAACUGGCUUUUCUCACAGCACAUGGGAUUCAGGAGGAGGCCAGAUAUCCCACACCAAAUUUGGGAAGUAGGGGAGUGGAUAUUGGGUAGCAGGAACCCAGUGCACCUUAAUAGAAAGAAGCAUUUCCAAAUCCAAACGCAAACUUAACUAAUUCCUUAAUCAAAAAUCAGAAACUGGAUGUGCACCUUUCACCCUCAUCCUCUGGCUGUGAGGUGGUCCUAGUUAAAGAGGAGGUAAUGUCGAUUGUGAGGGGUGCACACCGGGAGAGGUUCCAUUUGGAAGCAGGGAGCUGGGCGGGGAAGGCCAUUGGUAUCCUGGCAACUGUGUACUCAAGGUGUCAGCGUCUUGGGAUCUUGUUCAUGGAUGUGAAAAGAGGCAGGGAAAAUGUCCACGGGGAUGGAGGGAAUGCCAGGUCCAACUUGCUUCAGGUGAAACUAUGCUGAUGGCGUCUUUUCCUCCUGCCCUGCUCUUGGGCCUCUGCUUAGGUCACCUGACGUGGAUGGUUAUUGAUGAAUAGCUGAGUGAGGAGGCCCUCUAGUCUCAAGUGUAUUUUUAACAGAGUGGCUCUCGGUAAACAUCUCUUUCUCAAAUGCCUCACCUCCUCCACAGAGUCUUUCUUUUCAGCUGCUACUUAAUCAGCUGCUGCCCCUUAGCACACUGACCUAAUUCUUAGCUACACAUUUUGUCUAGGCUUUUGAGGCAGUGCUUCCCAGUCACUCACUGCUCAUGUUAAAUCCACCUUGACCUGUGGCCUCUACCCUCAUCACCUGCCUUACAUCCCACGGUAGCAGAGGCCUUUGGCCAAAGCGACAGCCAAUGUAGCAGGAGUCUUAAGGUGCAAAAGCUGGAAGGAUGUGGUUAUUAUGGUCUCUAAACCAAGCACCACGAAGGCAAAGCCCCCAAUUUCAUGGGCUGCUGCCCCUCGCAACCAGGUUGAAUUUGACCUUUCUCAAGCUGCUUUCUAGGCCAAGUGCCUGUCGUGGCUCAGUGAUUAACGAAUCCGACUAGGAACCAUGAGGUUGCGGAUUUGAUCCCUGGCCUCACUCAGCGGGUUAAGGAUCUGGCCUUGCUGUGAGCUGUGGUGUGGGUCGCAGACGUGGCUCGGAUCCCGCAUUGCUGUGGCUCUGGCGUAGCUGGCAGCUACAUCUCCGAUUCAACCCCUGGCCUGGGCACCCCCAUAUGCUGCGGGUGCAGCCCUAGAAAAAGGCAAAAAGACAAAAAAAUAAAAUAAAAUAAAAUGGGGGUUCUCAUUGGGGAGGGGUCUGUCUCAUUGGGAUAGAGCCUAAGAUGCUGCAUUUCUAACAAGCUACCAGGGGAUGCCCAUGAUGCUGCUGGUGUGUGGACCAUAGUUUGGAGGAGUAAAUCUUUAAGCCCAUCACUUUGAAUGAUCUUGAAGGUGACACCAUCUAGUUCUUUAAUAAGUCCAAAUGCAAAGCAGGAGAGAAGCACUCCUUUGGAAGUAGAUGGCAGAGCUAAGACUCAAAUUCUUAGGAAUAACUUGUUACCUUCAGGCAACCAAGUGGGUUACUGGUAAAACUCAAGCCUUCUCAUCCUCCUUGGAUGAGAGAUCUUGGCCUCUGUCUCCAUGUCUGAUGGAGUAUGAUGGCAUUGGCUUAUCUCCCAGAAGCCCAGGGAACAUGCAACCAUGGCAUUUGUGAUCAGUACACAAGUGCUGUUUCAUCAGUCCCACAAGUAGAGAGACAUGGGGACAGCGUAUAAUUCAGUCUGCACCAGACUCUCCUUCAUGCUCCUAAAAAAAGCCUGGGUGCGUAACAAAUCAUCUCCCAGACCCAUUUCUGGAAGUCUGCACCACGCACCAACUCCCACUCGAUGCUGCUUGUCAUUAUCAACAGGUAGGAACAUCAGAUGUGCCCCAGCCCCAAGUCCCACCCCCUUGCCCAAAUUCCCAAGAGUUCGCUUACAAACCAGCAGUUACUGUGGGUCUGGGAGGCCCACAACAGUGACAGCCAUAUAAAUUCUUGCCAACAUGGGGUUGAGGCCGCAGCCCUGCACAUGGGCCAUCCUCUGGGUAUAAUCUCGAUCAAGUUUGUUCCACAAAUGCCGUGACAGCCUGGCCCUCCCUGUGUUCUGUUCAGCCUUAUUUGAUCUCGCUCUCCCUAUUUCCUGUGUGUAUAAUCCCCCCAGUAGCAAUCAGAUCUAAACAAAAACAUAAAGGAGAAAAUAAUUAAGAAAUAUAAUCUGACAGUAUAACAAAGCAGGAUGUUUAAGAGUCUGAUUGACUCCACUUUUUUAUUUGGACUAGAGGGAGGAGGAAGAAAAGCUUGGGAUGGCUGCUGGAGGAACAAAAGUGAAUUAGAAGGCUCUUAUUUUGCAACUGGUUUCCUGCGUCUGUGUUGGCUAAUGGAUUUAUGACGAACCUUGGCUCCAAUUUCCAGUUGGCAGUUGGGUUCAGGUGUUUGCCUGCUGUCUUCAGGGAUGCUGCAUAAACAGCUGUUAAGUAGAGCUAGUUAUUCAGUCUGCUCCGAGAAAGGUUAAAGUGUGGGUCUUCAGGCUUCCCCCACGGACUAAUCCAGUAACAGGAGAGUCAGAGAAAACACACACCUCUUGGGAGGGGGAUCCCUCGCUGGGAUUUUGGUUGUUAUUAUAGUUACAAAUGGAAGUGUUUGAAACUUAAAUCUGAAUUUAGGCAGCAGGAGGAGAAACAGGGAUAGAAAUGAAUUAUUUAUUCCAUCACUGGGGUCCCAGAAGCAUAGAGUGGGCGUUAAUCUCCUUCCAACAGGAGCCUCUGAGCAGGCUUGAGGUCUUCUGUAUGAGAUCUGACCUUAUCUACUCCUGGCCAGACACCUCAGCUUCGAUUAAUUUGCCUUGAGAAUAAUCCAAAUAAGGCCCUUUACUUUGCUGUUCAUAAGAUGUGAAUAUUUACCUAGCGUGUGGUCAGAGGAGCCAAAAGUGCUCGUGUCUGUGAUUUCUUUUAAUCCCAUAAUUUCCCAGUAGGUCUGAGGGGAGAGGGAGAAGCAGGCAGGAGCCGACUCGCACCGACGGUCUGCUGGGUGUGGGGGUCACGGCGUGGAGUUCCCCACAGCGCGUUCUUGCUGAAUGUGCACCAGCCAUGAAUCUGUGCAGGAUCCGGAAAGGGAGCUUCUACUGCUCCCAUUUCACUGAUGGGGGUUUAGCAUCUCACCCAAGUCACCCAGCCCUGAAUUAGCCUUGCUGGGAUUCAAGUCCAAGCUGCUGUCAGACCCUUGCCUUGCAUUCUUUCCAGUGCUGCAAGGUAUCAAUUACAGUGAAAACACUGACUACUUUUCUUCAGGCUCGUUCGGGGGUUAUAACCACCAGUAAAGACAGAACAAAGCCCAUUCCCCAUAAGUCACAACCUACUACUGUCCUGUCUCUCUUGCUGCAUUCCUAAAUAUUAGUAUGUGUAACUUCUCUUUUCUUUCCUGUCCCCUGCUCUUUAGUGAGCACCGUGAGUUUUAUUAAAUAUUUCCCUCAAGGUUUUCUGUGAGAUUUAGCUUAGUCUUCUUGCUGAAACAUUUUGGAGACCAUUGCCUGAAGCCAGAUAUGGCAGAUCUAGGUGCUUUCUAGCUUUCUGUCUUCAGUCCUCGAGGCAGGUCCCUGGUUCCAUGGUAGAGAGAGGGGAGGAGGGGCUGGGCACACGUCUUCCCUCCGUAGUUUUGAGGUCUCAAGGUCCCUGAACCAGAGAAGACAGAGGUGGGCCUUUGACAGUGAUCUGCACCUGCGUGGUUUCUGUGGACUUCAGAGCACCCCUUGUUUCUCUUCUGAUUCCAUCUGUCGAGUGUCUGUCCUGUGCUGGGUGUCCGAGAUUUGGAGGUCAUGUUAUUGGAUGACCAAGUGUUGCCUCCCUGAUGGGUACCUGAGCACAGGGAAGGGAGGGCUUGAAAGAGUAUCAGGUGGGGCCCUCUGGUACAUGUUUUCUGCUUUUGGCUGUUCACCCUACUUCACGGAACUUAAGAUCAAACUCCUGUUUCUUCCACAUGGCUCUUUCCUUUCUACCACACUAGCUCAAUCUGUGGAGCAGUUUUGUUCUUUUUUUUUGUCUUUUUGUCAUUUUAGGGCCACACCCACGGCAUAUGGAGUUUCCCAGGCUAGGGGUCAAAUUGGAGCUGUAGCUGCUGGCCUGUGCCACAGCCACAACACAGGAUCUAAGCCAUGUCUGUGACCUGCACCAUAGCUCAGGGCAACACAGGAUCCUUCACCCACUGAGCAAGGCCAGGGAUCGAACCCGCGUCCUCAUGGAUACUAGUCGGGUUCGUUAACUGCUGAGCCACGGCGGGAACACCAUUGCUGUUCUUUUCGUUGGCUCCUGAGUUUCACAUGAAGACAGGCUGAAAAACUUGACUGAGCCUCUUUGGUUUAUUAGGGGCUGGGUAUAUAGUAUGAAUAAGAUAGGCCCAGCCCUGGCUUUUGGAUGCUCAGUUUGGAGGGGAAGACAGCUGUCAAAUGUGUAAUUGCCCAGGCCGUGGAUGUGAGGCAGAAGCAACAGAGUACACCAGGGGAGUGCAGUGGGGGCUCCCUGCCCAGC